rnacentral:lncRNA from 1 species
AGACUGUUCAGAUUCAAAAGGGAAGUAUGGUUAACAUUAUUAACAGCAGCUAUAAAUCUAAAAGAAUUAACAUAGAAAUGUCUUCAUCCACCAUGAGCGUAAAGAAAGCGUGAAGAAAGGUUUGAGCUAAUUCCAGUUGAAAUAGUUUGUUACUUACUUAGUCAUAUUGUCCUUUAAAUAUUCAAAGCUGAAGCAAAAACACAACAAUUGUUGCUUCUAGAAACAGCCCAGUUCUCUGUGCUGUGCUUUGCACACUACUGAUCUAAGGCAGACAAACAAAAACAACACAACUGCUGCUCAUCCUGCUUGAUUUCUACUUUUUUUGCUUUGCCCUACCCCUUUCCCAGGUGAUUGGUUGGGUUCCAGGUGGGCCUAAUGGUAUAUAAGCUGCAGGUGUCAUAUCAGAAAACUUCUUCCAUCUGAGCUGCUCUUUGGGGGUAAGUGCUUUGUUUUUUCUGCAGCCAGUUGUGGGGUUCUUUUGGUGGGUCAGAGUGUAUGGGCUGAUGUGUUUCCAAGUUGAUAGAGGAUGUCUUCCAGAUCCACAGGAAACCAUUAAAUGCUAGUAAUGCCAAUAAGACAACGAAGUAAACUGAAGCACAAGAAGCUGAAAAAGAGGAACUUAAUCAUAUUAAUGGAAGCACUAAAAAGACAUCAGCAUGCAGAUCACUGCAUACAAUAUGCGAUCAAGUUAUUGGAAAGAAAAACAGCCGUAGGUUUAGAAAAAUCAUUUCAGUCUCCCUAUAUUGCUGAUCCUUUGAGUAUCCUGUCUAUAGAAGAAAGAAAUGCAGUUCCAAGGAGCUGGUUUGUCAGAAGGCAAAACACACUCGGUAUGAAAAAAGCAUAAAACCUAGAAUUCAGUUUCAGGCUUAUGUUCUCUAGUUUUCUUUAAAA